rnacentral:rRNA from 1 species
CUACGGGAGGCAGCAGUGGGGAAUAUUGGACAAUGGGCGCAAGCCUGAUCCAGCCAUGCCGCGUGAGUGAUGAAGGCCUUAGGGUUGUAAAGCUCUUUCGCCAGGGACGAUAGUGACGGUACCUGGAUAAGAAGCCCCGGCUAACUUCGUGCCAGCAGCCGCGGUAAU